GAUGAAGAACGUAGCGAAAUGCGAUAAGUAAUGUGAAUUGCAGAAUUCAGUGAAUCAUCGAAUCUUUGAACGCACAUUGCGCCCCCUGGUAUUCCGGGGGGCAUGCCUGUUCGAGCGUCAUUUCACCACUCAAGCCUCGCUUGGUAUUGGGCAACGCGGUCCGCCGCGUGCCUCAAAUCGACCGGCUGGGUCUUCUGUCCCCUAAGCGUUGUGGAAACUAUUCGCUAAAGGGUGUUCGGGAGGCUACGCCGUAAAACAACCCCAUUUCUAAGGUUGACCUCGGAUCAGGUAGGGAUACCCACUGAACUUAAGCAUAUCAAUAAGCGGAGGA
rnacentral:misc_RNA from 1 species